AUGUGUGAGGAUUGGUCAACCUAUCUUUUCAAUCCUCUUAAGCCACAAUUCCCUUUGAAUGUUCUCGUGCCAAGUGAGCCACAAAACACUAGUGUUGGUGGGGACAACGUUGAAUCAUCCAAAUUGGUUGUUGAUGAAUCUCACAAACAAAUUAUAGAUCCCAUUGAUGCACCAGCAGCUGAUUCAUCUCUCGUGCCGAAGAAGAUUAACUCUGGUGUUGAUGCAGGGUCGUCGGCAACGCCACAAAAGGUGAAUCAACUUAAUAAAGCUCCCAAAAAGAAAUGUCUUCCAAAGUUCAAAUGA